rnacentral:rRNA from 1 species
UACGGAGGAUGCAAGCGUUAUCCGGAAUGAUUGGGCGUAAAGCGUCCGCAGGUGGCUAUGUAAGUCUGCUGUUAAAGAGUGAGGCUCAACCUCAUAAGAGCAGUGGAAACUACAUGGCUAGAGUGCGUUCGGGGCAGAGGGAAUUCCUGGUGUAGCGGUGAAAUGCGUAGAGAUUGGGAAGAACACCGGUGGCGAAAGCGCUCUACUGGACUGCAACUGACACUCAGGGACGAAAGCUAGGGGAGCGAAUGGG